GACUUUCAAUUAAUAGGGUUCAACCUUUUUGGCAUAAAGAAAAACGAAAAAAAAAAAGAAGGGGGCAAAACAAAAAUUAUUGCGGCGUCGAGGGAUGAAGAACAAGCUUCAGGUGUGGUGAAGUAAAAAACUUCCAACAUCAAAGACUACUAUGGAAGGGUGCCUUAGUGUAUAUGGAGGGAAAAACUUGAGUAAAGAAUUGGACGUAUGAAUCAUCUCUACAGGCUGACAGUCGAUAGAAAAUGCUGAGCAAAGCUGCUGGCUUGAAGAGGGGGGCUAAUCCGUAACAUCAACUGCAGAAGAAUGAGGUUCGACAAGAUGGUUGGAAACGUUUAAUGACCCUUUGCAACUUGCCAAAUACUUGCAGAAGCUUUGUACUAUGGAACAAACUUUUGUAUUGCACAAAAAAUGGUGAACUUCUCUAUGAAGGAGGGUAUAA